CCUACGGGCGGCAGCAGUGGGGAAUAUUGGACAAUGGGCGAAAGCCUGAUCCAGCCAUGCCGCGUGUGUGAAGAAGGCCUUCGGGUUGUAAAGCACUUUCAGUGGGGAAGAAAGCCUUGGGGCCAAUACCCUCGAGGAAGGACAUCACCCACAGAAGAAGCACCGGCUAACUCCGUGCCAGCAGCCGCGGUAAUACGGAGGGUGCGAGCGUUAAUCGGAAUUACUGGGCGUAAAGCGCGCGUAGGCGGUCUGAUAAGCCGGUUGUGAAAGCCCCGGGCUCAACCUGGGAACGGCAUCCGGAACUGUCAGGCUAGAGUGCAGGAGAGGAAGGUAGAAUUCCCGGUGUAGCGGUGAAAUGCGUAGAGAUCGGGAGGAAUACCAGUGGCGAAGGCGGCCUUCUGGACUGACACUGACGCUGAGGUGCGAAAGCGUGGGUAGCAAACAGGAUUAGAUACCCGUGUAGUC
rnacentral:rRNA from 1 species